GGGGAACUGAAACAUCUAAGUACCCCGAGGAAAAGAAAUCAACCGAGAUUCCCCCAGUAGCGGCGAGCGAACGGGGAGCAGCCCAGAGCCUGAAUCAGUGUGUGUGUUAGUGGAAGCGUCUGGAAAGGCGCGCGAUACAGGGUGACAGCCCCGUACACAAAAAUGCACAUGCUGUGAGCUCGAUGAGUAGGGCGGGACACGUGGUAUCCUGUCUGAAUAUGGGGGGACCAUCCUCCAAGGCUAAAUACUCCUGACUGACCGAUAGUGAACCAGUACCGUGAGGGAAAGGCGAAAAGAACCCCGGCGAGGGGAGUGAAAAAGAACCUGAAACCGUGUACGUACAAGCAGUGGGAGCCUCUUUAUGGGGUGACUGCGUACCUUUUGUAUAAUGGGUCAGCGACUUAUAUUCUGUAGCAAGGUUAACCGAAUAGGGGAGCCGAAGGGAAACCGAGUCUUAACUGGGCGUUAAGUUGCAGGGUAUAGACCCGAAACCCGGUGAUCUAGCCAUGGGCAGGUUGAAGGUUGGGUAACACUAACUGGAGGACCGAACCGACUAAUGUUGAAAAAUUAGCGGAUGACUUGUGGCUGGGGGUGAAAGGCCAAUCAAACCGGGAGAUAGCUGGUUCUCCCCGAAAGCUAUUUAGGUAGCGCCUCGUGAAUUCAUCUCCGGGGGUAGAGCACUGUUUCGGCAAGGGGGUCAUCCCGACUUACCAACCCGAUGCAAACUGCGAAUACCGGAGAAUGUUAUCACGGGAGACACACGGCGGGUGCUAACGUCCGUCGUGAAGAGGGAAACAACCCAGACCGCCAGCUAAGGUCCCAAAGUCAUGGUUAAGUGGGAAACGAUGUGGGAAGGCCCAGACAGCCAGGAUGUUGGCUUAGAAGCAGCCAUCAUUUAAAGAAAGCGUAAUAGCUCACUGGUCGAGUCGGCCUGCGCGGAAGAUGUAACGGGGCUAAACCAUGCACCGAAGCUGCGGCAGCGACGCUUAUGCGUUGUUGGGUA
rnacentral:rRNA from 1 species